UUGGCCUGAUAGAGCGCGGUGUCGGCGGAGGCCAUCAACACUUCAAGCUCGGUAUUGGCCGGGCCACCUGCGACACCGAUGCUGACCGUGGUUUCCAGCGGCGCGUCAUCGAUGGCCACACCGGACGCCUCAAACGCUUCGCGCACGCGCUCCGCGGCGAGCAGCGCUUCAUCGAUCGAACACGGCAACAGCGCGGCGAACUCCUCGCCACCGACACGGCCGACGAGAUCGCUCAUGCGGAGCGAAG
rnacentral:misc_RNA from 1 species